UAACGAUGAAGAGUUUGAUCCUGGCUCAGGAUGAACGCUAGCGGCAGGCUUAACACAUGCAAGUCGAGGGGUAGCAGGGGGCUUGCUCCGCUGACGACCGGCGAACGGGUGCGUAACGCGUAUAGAAUCUACCUCUUACUAAGGGAUAGCCCAGAGAAAUUUGGAUUAAUAUCUUAUAGUAUACAGACCUGGCAUCAGGAUUGUAUUAAAGGUUACGGUAAGAGAUGACUAUGCGUCCUAUUAGCUAGAUGGUGUGGUAACGGCACACCAUGGCUACGAUAGGUAGGGGUCCUGAGAGGGGGAUCCCCCACACUGGUACUGAGACACGGACCAGACUCCUACGGGAGGCAGCAGUGAGGAAUAUUGGACAAUGGAGGCAACUCUGAUCCAGCCAUGCCGCGUGCAGGAAGACUGCCCUAUGGGUUGUAAACUGCUUUUAUACAGGAAGAAACACUCUCACGUGUGAGAGCUUGACGGUACUGU
rnacentral:rRNA from 1 species